CUAAACAUAUCAGUUAAGAAUCCACUUGAACUAUGAAAACAACAUAUCAUACAAAAUGCAUUAAUUUUUUUCACAUAGGUUUAAUAUUUGACACUAAAAUGAAGAAAAGGCCUUCAUAUAAACAUGCAUAAGAUUAAUUAAUAUAUAUCUCUAACCAAACUAUUAUUAAUUUCAGAUAUUAAUGGUUAAUCACUAUCAAUACAUGUCUUGAUAGUUGUACAUGAGGUCUGCUUUCGCCACCAAGGAGUUAUGAAGAUCCGUAAACUGAUGCUGCUGCAA
rnacentral:lncRNA from 1 species